rnacentral:rRNA from 1 species
UACGUAGGGUGCGAGCGUUAAUCGGAAUUACUGGGCGUAAAGCGUGCGCAGGCGGCGCGUUAAGACAGGUGUGAAAGCCCCGAGCUUAACUUGGGAAUUGCGCUUGUGACUGGCGUGCUGGAGUGUGGCAGAGGGAGGUGGAAUUCCACGUGUAGCAGUGAAAUGCGUAGAGAUGUGGAGGAACACCGAUGGCGAAAGCAGCCUCCUGGGCCAGCACUGACGCUCAUGCACGAAAGCGUGGGGAGCAAACAGG